AGGCCGUUUUGGAUAGUGACUCGGCGCCUCAUGCAUUGCCUGUCUCAGGUGCAAAAGUAGCCGUUGCAUGCAAAAAUGGAAGGCAAAAUAGGAAGUCAGACAUCACACAGGCUUGGACAGAUGAGUAUGGAGAAUUCAGCAUCGACAUUCCUUCCCACCUCCAUACAAUUCCAAAUUUGGAAAACGCAUGUACUGUGAGGGUUUUUUAUCUGCCA